rfam:Cellulosimicrobium sp. MM contig152, whole genome shotgun sequence.
UUCGGUCCUCGGUAGUGGCUCACGGACCCCCCGGCCCGUCCCGGACGGAGCCGGCGGGAACCGCCGUGGACCUCGAUCGAAGACCGCC